AACGAACGCUGGCGGCAUGCCUAACACAUGCAAGUCGAACGAGACCUUCGGGUCUAGUGGCGCACGGGUGCGUAACGCGUGGGAAUCUGCCCCUUGGUUCGGAAUAACAGCGAGAAAUUGCUGCUAAUACCGGAUAAUGACGUAAGUCCAAAGAUUUAUCGCCAAGGGAUGAGCCCGCGUAGGAUUAGCUAGUUGGUGUGGUAAAGGCGCACCAAGGCGACGAUCCUUAGCUGGUCUGAGAGGAUGAUCAGCCACACUGGGACUGAGACACGGCCCAGACUCCUACGGGAGGCAGCAGUGGGGAAUAUUGGACAAUGGGCGAAAGCCUGAUCCAGCAAUGCCGCGUGAGUGAUGAAGGCCUUAGGGUUGUAAAGCUCUUUACCCGGGAUGAUAAUGACAGUACCGGGAGAAUAAGACUCCGGCUAACUCCGUGCCAGCAGCCGCGGUAAAGUGACUACUG
rnacentral:rRNA from 1 species